UGUCUGCCUGAGUGCCUGCCUCU
rnacentral:miRNA from 1 species